GACGAACGCUGGCGGCGUGCUUAACACAUGCAAGUCGAACGCUGAGGCCCUGCUUUUGUUGGGUGGUUGAGUGGCGAACGGGUGAGUAACACGUGAGUAACCUGCCCCCUUCUUUGGGAUAACGCCCGGAAACGGGUGCUAAUACUGGAUAUUCACUGGUCUUCGCUUGGGGGGUGGUGGAAAGGGUGUUUGUGGGGGGGGAUGGGCUCGCUGCCUAUCAGCUUGGUGGUGGGGUGAUGGCCUAACAAGGCGUUGACGGGUGGGCCGGCUGGGAGGGUGAACGGUCACGUUGGGACUGAGAUACGGCCCAGACUCCUACGGGAGGCAGCAGUGGGGAAUAUUGCACAAUGGGCGCAAGCCUGAUGCAGCGACGCCGCGUGAGGGAUGGAGGCCUUCGGGUUGUGAACCUCUUUCGCUCAUGGUCAAGCCGCAACAAUGGUUGUGGUGAGGGUAGUGGGUAAAGAAGCGCCGGCUAACUACGUG
rnacentral:rRNA from 1 species